rnacentral:tRNA from 1 species
UCCUCCAUAGCUCAACGGCAGAGCAUCCGACUGUUAAUCGGAAGGUUACUGGUUCGAAUCCAGUUGGGGGAG